rnacentral:SRP_RNA from 1 species
CCGUGCUAGACGGGGAGGUAGCGGUGCCCUGUAACUCGCAAUCCGCUGUAGCGAGGUUGAAUUCCUGUCUGAGGUCAUGCCGAUGCGGGGCUGGUUUUUAUGAACAGUGUUGACGGUUUGGUCCUCCGCAAUGGACGCCUGUGAACCCGGUCAGGUCCGGAAGGAAGCAGCCGUAAGCGGGUACGUUCAUGUGCCGGAGGAGUGCCGGGCCCGAGCUUGGAUUAAAAUGGCCGCCCGGGUCGUAUGUAUCGAAGACAGGUGCGCGG